rnacentral:lncRNA from 1 species
UUCUCUUGCCUGUUAAGUUUACAGUGCAGCCUAAAAUAAAGUAUUCCAGAAUAGACAGACAUUAUUAAUCAAAAACAGAGUCCUCACCCCAAAUUUUAGUUUUCUAAUAAAAAAAUCUCUGACAAAUGCUUUUGUAAUAUUAGCUUCCAAUUUCCUGGAGACGGUUCAAUUAACCAUAAAAUUCUAAGAAGCCUUGCUUGAAAAAUAUAAAACAAAAUGACAACCUGUUUUAAGGAACACUUUCAAGUAUAUGAUACUAGCCAAUUUCAAUAUGAACUGCUUAAAUGAAAGGACAUAAUUUGAUCACUUGUCAAGAAAAUUUAGAAGUGAAACAUUUUAGAAAACCUUGUGGUAUAAUUUUUUUCACUACUAUCAACUAGCAAUUUGGAACAACAAUCAUGCUACAUAGACAUAAUGGCUGACAUAAUACUUGACAUAAUGUCAUGUGGUUACCUAUCACUGGAUUGUUUGAAAUACAAUCAAUUUUUUCAACUAAUCAUAUCUUGCCAACAUUUAUUAUAUCAACCAUUAUAUCACAUAUUUUCUGACAAAGUAGCAUUAUUCUUGGAACAAUAUAAGCAUGUUGGACAAAGCCCCCAGAAAAAGUAAACUUCCAUGCUCAGCUAGACAUGUUUGAAGCUUUAAAAUAAAAAACUUUUUUAGAAUUUUUUAACAGAAGAGUGUUCCCUUACUUUUGUAAGAGUAACUUUCUUAAGUUUUAUCAAAACAUGCUCAUAGCUGGUGACUCUUACCAAGGUUAGAGAAAGAAUCUACAAAUUGGUUGAUCCUGCUUCAGUUUCUUAAUCCAGACAACAGAAUGCAUACUAUAAAAACCGCUACAGAUUCGCAUGCAUGGGAUUAUUGAUCUUAUCUUAACUACAUUCUCCUACCAUAUUGCAGAACAAGAAGGAAAUAUUACAGGUCGAUCUCUAGUGAAUAUGCUUGAUGUAAGUAAAGAAAGCGACUGUCAAAAUUUUUAAAUAUCAAAAAAUAAUGGGAUGAAGAAGAAGAUUUGUAGUGAAUACAUGAUGUACACAAAUGUGUAGUCAUCCUCAGCCCCUAAGGAAUGGUUAAUGAGAAGUGUAACUGCAACUCUGCAAAUACUCAAAACUCAAUUGAAAUAUACAACACAUGAAUGGGUAAAAAAAUUAUGAUUUAAUGUAUAAAUAUCUUUUAAAACAUAACCAAUUUUUUUGGAACAAAGCAAUAAAUCACUAAAACCAGAAACAUGGAGUUGUUUGGUUCAAUCACCUGUGGACCAUAUUUUUGUCAUGCAAAUACUUCAAGCCAUGUAAAAUCUGUCUAGUCUAUGCGGAGACCUGCGAAUCUCGGAGGUUGUACUUCUGGUAAAGGCUCAGAAGGGAUCCUUUAGUAACCAGCUCAAGGAAGAUGUAAAGAUGUGAUUCAACCUGUGAAAUAAAAAAUAUGACUUUCAGCACUUUAAUCUUGAUGUGAGGAAAAAAAAAUUCAAUCAAAAUUUGAAACGGAGUAUAUACUCAAGGAAAAUUAAGAUGUUAUUGAAAGACUGAAGGGGAAAAAAAGAGAGAAAAAGUUAAGCUCGGUAGAAGAUUCCAUCUCAGUGAGCUUCAAUUUUGUCAACAUUUUUCAAAUAGUGGACAACACAAGAAGUUCUCUAUAUCUUGUACUUCAAUUUCUACCAUCUCUGUGAAUAAAAAUCCAAGCAUCUUGCAAAAGGAAAAGGAAAGAAUCUUUUAACAGUGAUGCCGAAAUUGAAGAAACAAAUAUAAGCUGGAAACCGACGCUAAAAGCAAGAAAUGCUCAUCCUCCACCCUUCACCUGAAAAAUAUAAUGAUUAUAAUAGAGAACAUGUACAGUUAAUUUGCAAAAGGGUAUACCUUCUCCGUGCCGUAAUACUGGACAAUAUUCUCAUGAUCAAACUGACUUAGAAGACCAAUUUCCUGAAUGGGCAAGAAGAAAACAUAUAUUAAAGAAACGAGCUGAGGGAAAGGUGGAGAGUUUUACAGCAAAUAAUUAUCAGAGCCAUUGAGAGAAUGAAUCUAGAAAUAGGUGAGAAGUCAAGUGAACAAUUAAACAAAGCACUGGCAGCUAAACCUGUUCAAGUUGGAUGAUCCUUUGUUUUCCUUCAUCCCCUUGGUCAAGCAAAGAUACUUCCUUCACAGCAAAAAAGAAUCCAUCGCUGCAGAAAAAGCAGAUAUAUAUAUUAAAAAAAAAAUUGGUAUAUUAUCGCAACAAGAAUUCAUCUGAAUUUGUGGUACUCCAAACAAGUGCAAAGCUUUUUAACAGUGUUCUUUCAUAAGAGAGAAUUGUGCAACGAUAUUACAGGAUAAAUGAACUUUUUUUUUUCACUCGAUUGUUGUUGAAAGGUUCUUUAUCUAAAUUUUAGUUUUCUUCAAGACCAAGUUUUGGAUCUUUUACCACAAAUAAACGGGGAAAAAAAUCCAUUAUAGACAAUAACAUUUGAAAGAUUUGUUGUCUGAACAAAUAAUUCUCUAAAAGCAACCAUUAUCUGGCAGCAGUUGGAAUCUAUUGAACCACUAGAGUGGCUCUUUAUCUGCCUUUAUCGGGAAGAAGCCAAUCCAUUGCAAGGAAAGGAAAUCUUUCAAACUGUUGACACAUAAAAAUUUAGCCUAAAUCGAACAGUCCAAGGAGUGAAGCCCAAUUGGAGGAUUCCCAAAUCAGAUAGCCCAAAGAACGAAGCCCAAUCGAACAAAUCAAGAUGAAGGCCCAAAUAAGGAGGCCCAAAAACGCGGUAAUACCAUCGCCCAAGUUUGCAAGUCGCCCAGAAUCUGAGCGAAUGGAGUGUCAUACAGUCGCCCAGAGCUAUUACUCUAUUCUCGCCCAAACCUUCAACUCGCCCAAGGUCUUAACAAAUAGAAAGCGUCGUGGUCAUCAAGAAGUGCAGUUAUCAGAGCAGUUAUUAACGCAGCCCUAUCACGUUCCACGAUUCAAGGAAUUCAAUCGAAAGCGGUUGAACGAUGAAGAGUAAUGGCAGCAGUUAAAAAAGACAAUUUUCAUGACAAGUUGGCCAUUACGAAGAAAGUGGGCAGUUAUAGGACGAUCAAGCAGUUUUUAGGGCGGUUGAUCACAAAGAGAUCGUUCAUGAAGUAUAAAAGGGAGAAAGGAUAUAGAAGCAAAGGACCGAAUCAAAAACUCUCGAACAGAGAACAUGUAAUUUUCAUUUCCUUAGUUUUUAGACUUAAACACUUUUCUUUCAAUAACUCGCGUGCUUGUGCCCCUUAGAGGCACGUUGUUUUUAAUUUUCAAUUGUAAAGUCAUCGCCAAUAAAAGAACACCCCUUUUUGGGAUUUUGUCUCAAGAGGUUUUGUCCCUUACACAAUCAUCUGAUCCUUUUUAAUUGUUAGCGAAUAACCCGCGCGAAACAAUUUGGGACGCCCGGUGGGACAGUGGUGUUAGGUGUUGAAAGUACAAAAGGGGAAACAAUAUGCCUCAGAGAUCCGAUAAGGAAGCAGCAAGUCAGGGAGGAAUCCAGUCUGUGAUCGAGCGAUAUGAGAAGCAGCAUGCCUCUCCACGAACAGAUGGACAGAAUCAGAGCAGUAGCAGUCGUUACGAACCAAUGACGAAGUUGAGUCCUCGAACCAUGCGUGCAUUACUUGGAGAACUCACGCAAGACGUCGUUGAACAGGUAAAUCUUCGAAGUAUUCAUAAUAUGUAAAGAUUUACGCAAAAUGGGAAUGUACACUAUGACAACAUGGCUAAACAACUAAAGACGUUGAACAAAACAAUGAAUAAGUUAGUAGGCCAAAUAUGUCAACCGGCUAUACCUCUUACAAAUCACUUUCAAACUAGGACAAUCGUAGGACAUAAUCCCUCGGUCCUAAAUCCGAAUCAAGGGGUAGAACCGCUUUCUGGUCCCUCUACUUCAAACCAAGGGGGUACUACAGUGCCAAAUCAAAACAAUGGUAGUGGUAUGCCUAACUUGAGGGGUAAUCCGAACGUGAGAGAUAAUGUCCUAAACAAUGGACAGAAUAUUCCACGUGGUAAUGAGGAAAUAGAUGUUCAGGCUAAUAGUAAUGGCCCUAAUCAUGGUAAUUUUGUUGUCAAUCAAGGACCAAAUAUCAGGCCUCAUACAAAUCAACCGGUUAACCAACCUGUAGGAAUUCCAUAUGACCCCAAUGUCAUGUUGAGGAACCAGAUUAUGGAAAUUGUACAGGAUCAGAUGGCUUUUGGGGUGCGUCCCGUCAUUAGGCCAACGUACACAAAGCCAUAUCCUGAUUGGGUAGACCAAGCAUAUCCAUGGCCUAGAGGGUACAAAGUGCCAGAAUUCUCACUGUUUACCGGUUUAGGAGAGGUGUCUAGUCUAUAACACAUAGGGCGAUUCACAUUGCAAAGUGGUGAUGUAACCGAUUACCAUAAAAUGAGGCUUUUCCCUAGUUCGUUAACAGGAGUAGCUUUCUCUUGGUUCAUCAACUUGCCAGCAAACUCUGUUCAAACAUGGAAACAAUUGGAACAGUUGUUUUACGCUCAGUUUUAUAAAACUAAGUCUGAAGUCACUUUGGCUGAUUUGGCGAACCUACGUCAAAUGCCAAACGAAUGGGCAGAAAGUUUUCUCCAAAGGUUCAAGACAGCAAGAAGCAAAUGUUUUGUACCUCUGCCCGAAAAAGAAUUUGUCAAAAUCGCUCAGGGCUGCUUGAGCUUUGAUUUAAAAAAGAAGUUCCAGGACAAGGAAUUCCCUAACCUUUUCCAGUUAAGUGCGAAUGUGAUUAGAUAUGAGCGACUGAUAAGAGAGGAAGAACAAAUGAAAAAUUCUAGUAAAGGGACUUAUUACAAAGACCCAAAUUUUGACGUUCAUACCAUCGACGACGAGUCAUACGAUCAGGCCAAAAUGUGUUUGGCCGAAUUGGUCAAAGGGGAUACAUAUACUUGUCCCACAAUGGCCAAGCCUAGACCAUCGAGCAAAGAUGAGCCUAUAAAAGAUGGAAACAUAAAGGCUAGAACGUUCUCGUUCGACGUGACCAAAGUUGACCUUAUAUUCGAUAAAUUGUAUAGGGAUAAGCAGAUAAAGUUGAGCGAUAAGCACAAAUUGCCAAACCCUGAACAAAUUAAGGGUAAAAAAUAUUGUAAGUGGCAUAAUGCAUGGUCACAUUUGACUAACAAUUGCUUGGUUUUCCGCCAUAUAUUGCAGGAUGCCAUUGAAUCAUGACAAAUUACGUUCGAUGAUAAGAAAAAGAUGGCAGUAGACGAGAAUCCUUUCCUACAGCCACUUGGAGUAAACAUGGUGACAUCUGGAUUCAAGAACAAGUUGCCAAAAUUCAAGUUGGUAGUAGAUGAUGGAGAAGAAGAUCCUAGACCACAUCCCAGUAUAUUUGAACGAAUCAAGGGAAAAGAACCAAAAAAGGACGAAAACGUCCUGUGUGAAAGGUGUAAAAGAGAAGUGAAUGGAAAUACAGAGAAACCAGGGACAUGGCAGCAUCCUCAUCAUCCUACCUUCUUCCCAAACACUCAACCUGGUAAAGGGCGAGGAACGUCAUUUUAUAGAGGACCGCCUUUUGAGAGGCAGUUCAGGCCAGCAGAUAAUGGAAGAACAUUCAGGCCGCAACCUCGUCGGCCAAAUGUAUGGCAUUCAUUCCAGUACAGUGUAGGAAGGGCAAUACCCUUCGAUGAGAUGACUAGGACCCAACAAAGGCAUUUUCAACGAAACUACGGACGGAUGAUGAGGCAGCAGCAGGGAAUGCCACAUCCUAAAGCGCCUAUACUACUCAAGGUAGCCAAUCAAAAUAUCCUCAAAAAUAAUGAAGAGACCGGCACAGAUGAAUCAAUGAAGGAACUACCAGAAACUUCUUCUGGGAGAUCAAGGUUUGAGCGAGAUAGAAGGGAUGAAGAAGAUCCAGAUCAGUCCCUCACUAUCCAAUUCAGUACGUUGCCUCCUGUCGUGGCCAAUAAUUACUUACUGGCUAAUGAAUUCAAGAAUAAAGAAAAAGAAGAAGAGAGGGAGGACAACGAAGGGGAAGCCUGCGUGCUGGUAUGUGAAGAAGGCCAGACUUCUAGAGAGGCCUACAACGAUGAGGAGGACGACGGGAUGACAGAUAUUGAAGAAGAAAUCGACUUAGAAGCAGAAAGAAAAAAGAGAGGAGUAUCGCGCAAUACUCUGUUUAAGCAACUACAUCAAGAGGGAGUUUGUGAAGUAGACUUGUUGGAAGAACCAUCUGGGCGUUCUUUCGAUUUCUACGUACUGUACGGGACACCCAAAAGGAAGAAGAGAGCGCCUCGCUCUGAAAAGUAUGGGUCACCUCCAAGAAUAAUGCCCCCUCCCACAAGUUGGAUAACUGAUGAGGAAGCAUUAGAAAGAAGUAGGAAAGAAGUUCAAGAGACAGAAGAUCAGCGUGAUAUACUGCACGUCAAUUUGUCACAGGGGGAUAAUUCAAUAGAAAACAAGCAGGAAGUAGAAAUAGAGGCUGCCAAAAAGGUUAUUUUUAAACGGCCAGCCAUGAAAUUGACAAAAUACUUGAGGCCAUUAUACGUUAAAGCUCUAGUUAACGGCGUCCCAGUGGCAAAAGUGCUUGUCGACAAUGGAGCAGCUAUAAACACCAUUCCAUCUAGGAUGAUGAGGAAGUUCGCAAAGACAGAGGGUGACAUGAUUCCUACAGAAGUCAUCCUCACUAGCUUCAAUGGAGGAGCAACUUCAGCUAAGAGAGUUAUGCCAUUGGACAUAACUAUAGGGACAACUAUUAGGACCGCUGUUUUCUUUGUAAUAGACAGUCCUAUUAGUUACAACGUGCUACUAGGAAGAGAUUGGAUACACGGAAGUCGCUGUAUACCCUCAUCGCUCCAUCAAUGCCUGAUCUUUUGGAAUGACAAAGGCGAAGCUGAGGUGGUACAGGCCGAUCAUAGGCCUUUUGUCGCAGAAGCAAACUCGGUGGAAAAAUUCAUGUACGAAGGAAACUAUGGACCUGUCAGAGUAGUGCAAGACGGGGAAGAAACUCAGGUUGUCGCGCAAAGCAAAGAACCGUUCUCAGUGGACGCACUCACUGAGAUGUUCAAACAGAUGAGGCCAAAUAUAGUGGCCCUGGAGGAGCCAGUAAUUGGUAAAAGAAUAAUUAAGGAGUCUUGAAUGGACUUUAAGUUACAAAAGCAAAGUGGCCCACAAGCAGCCCAAAAAUUGCCUUCCAUCAUCGACUCCUUAUGAAGAACAAAGAGACGAUGGGAAGAAUUUUGAAGGUAAAAACUUCGCUGCUGGCCAAAAAAUAUUUCCUAUACCUUCCACACCAAAGGUGACAUCAAGGUAAAUAGAGAAAUGGGCGGACUAAACAGUCCAUUUUGGAUCGGAUUGAUUGUCAGAAUGCCAAAGCAAUGGCAACAAAUUAGUUUCGAAGAAGAAAAUGAAAAUAGAAGAUGGAAAAUGCGAAGCAUUUAUAGGGGGGUGGAGACGAAGAGACAGAAUAUGAACAGCCACAUUUCUGCCUAAUAAACGGAAUUAAAUAGCCCAAAGUCUUGGGAAAAGUGGUGGGAAUAUCAAAAGAAGAUGAACAAGAUUUUUAGCACAAAGCAGUUAAAUGCUUAAAGAAUUGACGACUAAAAAACAAACGUCAAAUAAAUGCACAAGAAGUUAAUAUUCAUUAAUGAUGAACAAAGUUACAAAGGGAAAAAAUCGAAUUACAAAAGAAAAAAAAAGACAUUAUAUGUCUUAAUUACAGUCUACCCCAUACUGAACGAAUUCGUUCCCUAAGUUUUUCCCAAUCCUCGUUUUGCCGAGAGGAAGUGAUGUUCAAUUCAGUCGCGACAUCAUCAUCAACUUCCAACUUCUUGUACUGCUCAACCAAGGACUUAGUUCGCUCAAUUCCCUGGGAGGCGUUGCGCUUUUUAGCAGCCAUUCUAGCCCUGCAGUCGUCCAUUUUGGCUUGAAAUUCCCUCAUCUGAGCAGCCAAGUUAACCAUCAAAGAGUCUUCAACCAUGACUUCGGAAGAGAUUUCUUUCAACUCAUCCUCAGCCUUGUUAAUCUUCAUACGCAAAGACUCUUUCUCAGCUAUGGCUCAAAGAUAUUGAGUACUUUUGGCCUUUAGUUCAGUAUUCUUGGCCAGCAAAGAAAGGACCUCGGAGUGGAUAACCUUCAACGUCGCUUUAAAAUCGACAGAAAGAUUGAGCGACGGAAGCGUCAGUGCUUGCUCCAACUUCGCACUCAAGUGCUCAAGUUUGUCCUUGUGUCUGGCAGCACUAGCCCUUCCAAUAUCCAUAUCCAUGAAGGAUACGUACCCAAAUAUCGACUCCUUGAGGAACUUCAAAUCUUUCUCUGAAGAAGCAGCAGGACGAUCAGAUGGAGCAGGGCGAGACGUCUGAACUUGCCCCCAGGAAGCGAACAAAUCUUGGAUAGAAAGCACAAUUUUGUCAGCGUCCUGCAAAGAAAAUUGCCAAUAAUAAAGAUCCUCACUACAACUAACAAGAUAGAAAUAGAAGUGAAGCAAAGACUACCUCAUCAACAAUCGUAGAAGAUGGCAUGCCCUCAGCCAAGCUUGCCACCAACGACUCCCCCAUUCGUGAGGACUUCCCCUUGUCUGAGCGAGAAGAUGUUGCCAUAACGGGCGGACUCAUAGGAGUAUCUGCAAAACUUAAGAGCAACAAAUCAGAAACCAACAGCACAAGCAAAGGUAAGACAUCAAAAGACUGAAUUACCUUCUGCUUCAAUGUUUGGGGGGUUGACGCCCUGGGAAGAAGGUGGCUCAUCCAUGGGUUGUGAUGAGGACUCCGGGACUGAAGAUGUCUCUUUAAGCGUAGCCCCCUCAUCAACUAGUUUGGAUGAAGUAGUCUCAGCAGAAGAUGAUGGAGCAGGAGCUGUUGAUGCCAAAGCCUUUGAAGGAGAGGCUAAACUUUUCUGGGAAGUCCAAAAGAUCAUCAGCACACAGAAAAGUUUCAAGUAAGGAAAAGUAUGCUUGUAAGUAAAUUAAUUUAGUUACCUUCCUUCUGACGAUAAGAGGGGCAUCAUCACCAACAUCAUCCUCCAGAAUGGGAGAUGCUGAGGCUGGCCGUUUAUGGCUUGGGGCACUCUUGGCUGUAGUAGGCUUGGCAGGGAGAGAAGAAGAUGGGCGAGCAGACUAUUUAGUGCGACGAGAAGGAGAAGGGCUCCGAACAGACAAAGGAGUGACCAAAACAGGAGGAGGAGAAGAAAUGCUCGGUUGGUCUAAUGAAUGAAAGGCACGAUUGGCGUCAGUCGCAAAUAAUCUGCGCUUCACCGACGGCCAGAGUUGUUCAAAAAGAGGGUGAAUGGCAUGGCUAGAAUUAAAAGGGGCUAAUGAAAAAUGGCUGGUCAAAAGAAGAUUACGAGCAUCUAUAGCCUCUGCCUCCGCCUUAUUAAUGGUAUAAAAACGGUCAACUAAGUUCCUUGAAUAGCAAGGAGGAACAGACCAAGUUUGGCCAAAACCAAGCUGAUGAGCAAAGAAUUGGGGAGCAUAAAUUUCUACCCCCACCUUGGCAUUGGUCCCAGUUAGAAUAUCAUGAAAUAGCUCCCUUCCGGUUAGAAACUGGAUCCAAAUGAGCAGGGAGGUGCUCGCGCUAUCUAUAGUGGAAGGGGGAUGUACAUAGUUUGGAGUCAAAAAAUGAGGAAAAGGAAAAAAGGAAGGGAUUGAAUCCAAAGAAUAAAAGAAUGAAAAAAUGUCCCUUCUGGACAUAUUUACAGGAGCUAAGGGCUCCAUGGCUAGCCCAUAACAGCUAGCAAAGGAGCGAGAGAUGGAUGGAGCACCAAGCGAUGGAAAAUAGGAUCUCAACCACAGUUGAGUGAACCAAAGAGGUCCACUGCCAGUGGGAGAUGCACCAUUCUUCAAUUGACCUUGAAGAGAGGCCAUGCCUCUAUAAAGGGCAGCCAAAAACAAAGAACAUAAAUUCAAAGGCCUGCCACGCGCCAAUUCGUGCGCUAUAGGUAAAUAACUCAGGGAGGGCUUUAUGCUUGGCACGCACAAAACAUAUUUACAAAGCCAAACGAAAAGGAAGGCCACUCGCUCAGUAUGGGAAGGCUCAGCGCUCGAAUGAUUGUGAAGGGUCUGCAGGCUUGAAUAAGAAUCGGUGUAGUUUUUACCAAACUUUGGGGCGCCACCAGAAACCAAGAUACCAGGAAAAAUGGUAUCGCCCAAGGGUGGUAGAUUCACCAAGGCCCCAACAUCCCUUAAGGUAAUAGACAUGGGGCCAAGAGGGAAAAUAAAGGUGUUAUACUCAGGGGACCAAAAACUCAAAGCAAUCGAAAAGAGUGCUGAAUCAAAAGUAGGGGGCGAGUAGAGAUUUCUAACGAAUCAGAAAUCCUAGCGCUAUCAAAAAGUGCCUUAGUAGGACCACGACCCACAAGGCGAGCAUGCCACCUACGGAAAGCUACAUCAGAUUUAGGCCAAGUGCGAAUACCUCUUUCGCGAAGUGGCCCCAGCGGUAGAGAGUUCAGAAAUGGAGGGCCCUGAGUGCAAGGAAACAGCUGACCCACAGCCGCCUGUUCAACUGCCUUUGCAUUGUUGAAGAAGAGACCCAAGUAGAACUCAUUACGUUCAACAUCGGCGGGUGAGAGAAAACUUGGAGUUAUGUAUGGGCGACUCAGAAGUUUCUGAAAGUCAUCAAAACUAAAGGAGUCGCCAGCUUGAGAUUGUGAAGCAGCCAUUUGAGAAGGAACGAAGUUUUUCAGGGUUACGUAGCAGGGAAGCAAGGAUGAACAGUAAAACUUGAGAGAGACGCGAAAAAUUUGAGGCAUGAUUUAGUGUUUGAGGGUUAUAAGGGUUUGCAAAACGACGCACCUUUUCAAGUUAUAGAAGGAAACAAUGAUUGAAAUUCUUGGGAAUUUCGAAUGUUGCUAGAAACACGAAGUAAAUAUGGCAAAAUUUAAUAAUUAUUAUUAAUUCUGCCAUAUUGGGGGGUAAUUGUUUACACAUAAAAAUUCAGCCCAAAUCGAACAGCCCAAGGAGUGAAGCCCAAUUGGAGGAUUCCCAAAUCAGAUAGCCCAAAGAACGAAGCCCAAUCAAACAAAUCAAGAUGAAGGCCCAAAUAAGGAGGCCCAAGAACGCGAUAAUACCAUCACCCAAGUUUGCAAGUCGCCCAGAACUGUUACUCUAUUCUCGCCCAAACCUUCAAGUCACCCAAGGUCUUAACAAACAGAAAGCGUCGUGGUCAUCAAGAAGUGCAGUUAUCAGAGCAGUUAUUAACGCAGCCCUAUCACGUUCCACGAUUCAAGGAAUUCAAUCGAAAGCGGUUGAACGAUAAAGAGUAAUGGCAGCAGUUAAAAAAGGCAGUUUUGAUGACAAGUUGUCCAUUACGAAGAAAGUGGGCAGUUAUAGGGCGAUCAAGCAGUUUUUAGGGCGGUUGAUCACAAAGAGAUCGUCCAUGAAGUAUAAAAGGGAGAAAGGACAUAGAAGCAACUGACCGAAUCAAAAACUCUCGAACAGAGAACAUGUAAUUUUCAUUUCCUUAGUUUUUAGACUUAAACACUUUUCUUUCAGUAACUCGUGUGCUUGCGCCCCUUAGAGGCAUGUUGUUUUUAAUUUCCAAUUGUAAAGUCAUCACCAAUAAAAGAACACCCCUUUUUGGGACUUUGUCUCAAGAGGUUUUGUCCCUUACACAAUCGUCUGAUCCUUUUUAAUUGUUAGCGAAUAACCCGCGCAAAACACAAACUACAAACUUUUCUUUCUUAAUUGAUGAAGAAUUUAGAAUUUUACUGAAAAGUAGAACAUCAGAUUAAAAGAAUCCAUAGUUCCAUUAUUUGAUGAACAAUUCUAUAGUUUUUUUGCUGUCAAAAUAAAUAAGAAAUAGGAGUUCAAAAUUUUAGAAAUAAAAUGCAAAACCCGGUUGUUAUAAAUACGGGUCCAUGCUCAACAAUUUCAAUGCAACUUAGCACCCAGGAAAAAAGGUGAAAAGGGCACUUACCAGGUAAUUCCUUCAUAAACAGAUUUAAAUGAUCCACGACCCAUGAGAUCCCCUUUCUGCCUGUCCACAAAUAUGUUCUGAUACAGCUUAUAUCUUGAGAUGUUAUUGUCAUAAUCAGAUUCUGUACUGGAAGAAAUGGAACUUGAUCCCCCUGAGGAAGCAUAAGCAAGUUGUCGAUACUAGUCUCUCUUUAGUACGGCUUGUACAAUUCUCUCCCAAUUAUAUAGUUCCUAGACAUCUAGUUAUAUCCGUUUCGCGCGGGUUAAUCGCUAACAAUUAAAAAGGGAUCAGACGAUUGUGUAAGGGACAAACCUCUUGAGACAAAGUCCCAAAAAGGGGUGUUUUUAUUGGCAAUGACUCUACAAUUGGAAAAUAAAAACAGAAUGCUUCCAAGGGGCGCAAGCACACAAGUUACUGAAAAAGAAGUGUUUAAAUCUAAACUAAAAAAUUUAAAGUUACAUAUUCUCUGUUUGAGAGUGUUUGAUUCGGGGGCCUUUGCUCUAUGUCUUUUCUUCCUUUUAUACUCCCUGGAUGAUCUCUUCGUGAUCAACCGCUUAAAAACUGCUUGAUCGCUCUAUAACUGCCCACUUUCCUUGUAGUGGCCAACUUGUCAUGAAACUGCCUUCUCUAACUGCUACCAUUACUUUUGUCGUUCAACCGUUUUCAAUUGAAUUCCUUGAAUCAUGGAACGUGAUAGGACUACCCAAUAACUGCUUUAUUAACUGCACUUUUGGGUAACCAUAACAUCUUAUGUUUGCUAAGAUACUGGGCGACUCGAAUGUUUGGACGAGAGCAGGGUCACAGCUCUGGGCGACUGCAUGGCAAUUCAUUCACUCAAAUCUUGGGCGACUUGCAACCUUGGGCGAUGGUAUUACCGCAUUCAUGGGCUUCCCUAUUUGGGCAUUUAUCCUGCAUUGCCUGAUUGGGUCGUUCUUUUGGGCUAUUUGAUUUUGGGGAUGAACUUUUUGUGUGUCAACAAUUACCCCCCAAUAUGGCAGAAUUAAUACCAAUUAUUAAUUUUUGCCAUAUUCACUUUGUGUUUCCCAACAAUAUUUGAAAUUCUCAAGAAUUUCAAUCAUUGUUUUCUUCCAUAGCCUGAAAAGGUGCGACGUUUGCAAACCCUUAUAACCCCCAAAUACGCUAUUUCAUUACACCACUAAAUCACGCCUCAUUUUUUCGCGCCUCUCUCGCAAUAUUACUGUUUAUCUCCUUGCUUCUCUGCUACUUAACUCUGAAAAACUCUAUUUCGUCCCUAAUGGCUGUUUCACAAUCCCAGUCUGGUGACUUCUUCAGUUUCGAAGACUUUCAGAAACUCCUUACUCGGCCAUAUAUAACUCCGAACUUCCUUGCACCAGCCAAUGUCGAACUUAAUGAGUUCUAUCUAGGUCCUUUAUUCAACAAUGCCGAGGCCAUCGAACAAGCGGCGGUCGGUCGUGUACUCAGGGCCCUCCGUUUCUAAAUUCUUUGUCGCUGGGGCCACUUCGCGAAAGAGGUAUUCGCACUUAGCUUAAAUCUGAUGUCGUUUUUCGUAGAUGGCAUGCUCGCCUUGUGGACUAUGGUCCUACUAAGGAAAUUUUUGAUAAUACUAGGAUUUCUGAUUUGUUAGAAAUCUCUCUUCAACCCCCUAUUUUUGACCCAGUACUUUUUCCAAUCGCUUUAAGUUUUUGGUCUUCUGAGUAUAAUACUUUUAUUUUUCCUCUUGGUCCCAUGUCCAUUACUUUAAGGGAUGUUGGGGCCCUAGUAAAUCUGCCACCUUUGGGCGAUACCAUUUUCCCUGGUAUUUUGAUUUCUGGUGUUGCCCCAAAAUUUGAUAGAGAUCUCACCGAAUCUUAUUCAAGCCUGCAAACCUUUCAUAAGCACUCGAGCGUUGAGUCUUCCAUACUGAGCGAGUGGCCUUUCUUCUGAGUUGGCUUUGUAAAUACAUUUUGUGUGUGCCAAGUAUAAAGCCCUCCAUGAGCUAUUUACCUAUAAUGCACGAAUUGGCGCGUGGUAGGCCUCUGAAUUUGUGUUCUUUCUUUUUAGCUGCCUUUAUAGAGGCAUGGCUUCUCUUCAAUCCCAAUUGAAGAAUGGUGCAUCUCCCACUGGCAGUUGGCCUCUUUGGUUCACUCAAAUGUGGUUGAGAGUCUAUUUUUCAUCGCUUGGUGCUCCAUCUUUUUCUAGUCCUUCUGCUAGUUGCUAUGGGCUAGCCAUUGAGCCCCUGACUUGUGUAAAUAUGUCCAGAAGAGAUAUUUUUUCAUUCUUUUAUACUUUGGAUUCAAUCCCUUCCUUCUUUCCUUUUCCUCCUUUUUUGACUCCAGAUUAUAUGCAACCUCCAUCCACUCUGGAUAGUGCGAACACUUCCUUGUUUGUUUGGAUUCAGUUUUUGACCGGAAGAGAGUUGUUUCAUGAUAUUUUGACUGGGACCAAUGCCAAGGCUGGGGUAGAAAUAUAUGCUCUCCAAUUUUUUGCUCGCCAACUUGGUUUUGGCUAAACUUGGCCCGUUCUCCCUUGCUAUUCAAGGAAUUUGAUAGACUGCUUCCACACCAUUAAUAAGGCAGAGGCUAUAAAUGCUUGCAAUCUUCUUUUAACGAGCAGCUUUUCAUUAGCCCCCUUCAAUCCUAGCCGUGCCAUCCAUCCCCUUUUUGAACGACUCUGGCCGUUAGUGAAGCGCAGAUUGUUUGCGACUGAUGCCAAUUGUGCUUUCCAUUCACUAGACCAGCCAAACAUUUCUUCCACCUCUACUGUUUUGGUCACUCCUGUGUCCAUUAGGAGUCCCUCUUCCUCUGCUUGUGCUAAACAAUCUGCCCGUCCAUCGACUUCUCUUCCUGCCAAGCCUACUGCAGCUAAAAGUGCCCCAAACCGCAAACGGCCAGCCUCAGCGUCUCCCAUUUUGGAGGAUGAUGCUGAUGCUGAUGAUGAUACCCCUCUCAUCAUCAGGAGGAAGGUAAUUAAAUUGGUUUACUCAUAAGCAUACCUUUCCAUACUUGAGACUUUUUCAUGUGCUGAUAGUUUAUUUGGACUUCUCAGAAAAGUUCAACCUCUCCCUUGAAGGCUUUGGUGUUGGCAGCUCCUGCUCCAUCAUCCUCUGUUGGGGCUGCUUCAUCCAAACCAGCUGAUGAAGGGACUACACUUAAAGAGAAAUCUUCAGUCCUAGAAUCUUCAUCACAACCAAUGACGAGCCACCUUCUUCCCAGGGCGUUGACCCCCCAAACGUCGAAGCAGAAGGUAAUUUGUUUUUUGAUGCUUUACCUUUGCUUGUGUUAUUGGUGUUGAUUUGUUGCCUUUUGAGUUCUGCAGAUGUUCCCAUGAGUCUGCCCGUUGCGGCAAGGUUUUCUCGAUUAGACAAGGGGAAGUCCUCACGAAUGGUGGAGCCAUAGGUGGCAGAUUUGGCUGGGGAUAUGCCAUCUUCCAAGAUUGCUGAUGAGGUAAUCUUUGCUUCACCUUUACCUCCACUUUGUUUAGUGUAGUGGAAACCUUCAAUAUUGGCGAUUUUCUUUGCAGGAUGCUGAUAAAAUUGUGCGUUCCAUUCAAGACUUGUUCACUUCCUGGGGGCAAGUCAAGACAUCUCGCCCUGCUUAAGCCAGUUGUCCUUCUGCUUCUUCAGAGGAAGAUAUGGAGUUCCUUAAGCAGUCGAUAUUUGAGUAUGUGUCCUUCAUGGAUAUGGACAUCAGUAAGGCUAGUGCUGCCAAGCAUAAGGAUAAGCUUGAGCAUUUGAAUGCGAAAUUGGAGCAAGCACUGACACUUUCGUCGCUCAAUCUUUCUGCUGAUUUUAAAGCGACGUUGAAAGUUGUUCAUUCCGAGGUCCUCUCCUUACUGGCCAAGAAUGUUGAACUGAAGGCCAAAAGUACUCAAUAUCUUUGCGCCGUAUCUGAAAAAGAGUCUUUGCUUCUGGAGAUCAACAAAGCUGAGGACGAGUUGAAAGAAAUCUCUUCCGAAGUCAUGAUUGAAGACUCUUUGAUGACUAGUUUGGCUGCUCAGAUGAAGGAGCUUCAAGCCAAGAUGGACGACUGCAAUGCGAGAAUGGCUGCUAAAAAGCGUAAUGUCUCCCAAGGAAUUGAGCGAACUAAGUCUUUGGUCGAGUAGUAUAAGAAGUUGGAAGUUGAUGAUGAUGUUGUGGCUGAAUUGAACAUCACUUUUUCUCGGCAGAGCGAGGACUGGAGGAGACUUAGGGAAAGAAUUCGUUUGGUAUGGGGCGAACUGUAAUUAAGACAUAUAAUGCCUUAACUUUUUCUUUUUGUAAUUUCGCAUUUGACUUUCCCUUUGUAACCUUGUACUGAUAUAAUAGCAGCCAUCAUUGUUAAUGAAUAACUAUUUUAGCCUCUUGUGUAUUUAUUGACGUUCGUUUUUUAAUCGUCAAUCGCUCAGGCAUUUAACUGCUUUAUGCUAAAAUUUUUGCACAUUUUUUCUUGAUAUUUCUGCCCGACUUUGGGCCACUUAAUCCCAUUUACUAGACACGAAUAUGACUGCUCAUAUUCUGUCUUUUCAUCUUCACCCCCCUAUAAAUGCACAUCAUAUUCUGUCUUUUCACUUUCACCUUCCUAUAAAUGCACAUAUACUUCAUACUUUCCAUCUUCAUUUCCAUUUUCUUCUUAAAAAAAAAACCAAUUUGCUGCCAUUGCUUGGCAUUUCUGACAAUCAAUCCAAAACUUAUGUUUUCCAUGGAAAUGGAUCAUAUGAUCCGCCCACUUUGUCAUCUUUCUUGAUGUCACCUUUGGUAUGGGAGAUAUAGGAAAUAUUCUUUGGCCAGCAGCAAAGUUCUUCCCAUUGUCUCCGUUCCUACAAGGAGUUCAAUGAUGGAAGACAAUUUUUGGGGUGCUUGCAGGCCACCUUGCUUGUUGAGAGUGCUUCUCAGCCUCCUUGCCCGUCGUUGCAGCGAUGCAUUUAGGUAGGUAAUGUGAGGGCUCUUCAUCUUCCUUUCUGCUUGCUGAGAGUGCUUCUUGGCCUCUUUGCUUGCCUUUGCAGCAGUGCGAUCAGGAUGACGAUCAAGGCCAGUACCCCCUCUUACUCGGUGAUCGACCGGGGGAUUAGUCUUCUCUUAAUCGUAGUUUAUAGAGCAUUUAGCAUCUUGUAUUUCGCAGCUUUGUAAUGAACAUUCGAUAAUAAAGGAACUUAUUUGAACGUAUUUCGCUCUGGCCCUUUUUACUCUACGAUCAUUCAAUGCGAGUUGGUUACGCUUUUAUUUGUUCACUUUCCCAUAAGGAAGGAACAUACUUUUUCAAAUAUUUGCCAUUAAUGAACCUCAUGUGCUUGGUGCCGUCUAAAUCUUUCAAAUGAUAGGCUCCAUUAGGCAAUACAUUAUUCACUUUAUAUGGUCUUUCCCAAUUGGGAGACCAUUUGCCAUACUUUGGAUCUUUGCUAUCCAAAGGGAGUACUGUUUUCCAAACCAGUUCACCCAAGUUGAACGACUUGGCUAUAACUUUUUUAUUAUAAAAUUUAGUCAUUCUUCGUUUUUGAACUUGCAAUCUAUCUAGGACGUCUAACUUUAAUUCGUCCAACUCUAAUAAGUUUUGAACUAGUGAUUCGGUAUACUCAUCAUCACUUAACUUAUGUUGCAAACACACUCUGAUCGAUUGCACGUUGAUUUCCAUAGGCAAAACGGCCUCCUGUCCAUAAGUAAGUUGGAAAUGAGUAAUUUUGGUAUUUGACCGAGGCGACGUCUUAUAAGCCCAUAAGGCUUUGUUCAGACAUUCGUGCCAAUUUCUGGCAUUUUCAUCUAUCAUUUUCCUUAUGAUAUUUUUUAGAAUCUUAUUAGAAGAUUCUGCUUGCCCAUUGGAUUGAGCGUAAUAUGGUGUGGAGUUUACUAAUUUAACUCCAAACUCGCUCAAGAAUUUAUUCACUUGAUCCCCAUUUAAAGAUGUCCCGUGAUCUACCAUCAAAGUUUGUGGAAUUCCAAAUCUAUAAAUGAUGUGAUCACGGAUAAAUUCUAUGACAUUCUUCUGGGUGAUCUCUUUUAAAGGUACCGCCUCUACCCACUUAGUGAAAUAAUCGGUUGCAACUAUAACAAAAGUAUGUUGCUUGGACGAUGGGGGAUAAAUCUUUCCUAUCAGGUCUAUCGCCUAACCCUUGAACGGCCAAGGUUUAAUAAUAGGUGCCAUCUCUUGUGCUGGUGCCCUUUGUAUUGGACCAUGCUUUUGGCAUGCUAAACAAUUCUUUGCAUACUGAACACAUAAUUCUUCCAUCUUUGGCCAAAAAUAUCCACUCCUAAUAAUUAACCAUCUCAUCCUUUGGCCAGUUUGAUGAGCUCCACAUAUCCCUUCGUGCACUUCAGCCAUGAUCGUCCUGGCUUCUUGUAAACUUACACAUUUUAACAAUAUACCAUCAGAGCGUUUCUUGAACAACUCUUCAUCUAUCAGUGCAUAGUUUAGCAAACGCAACUUCAUUUUUCUACUAUUUCUUUUACUAGGUUCUUUAAGGAACUCCUUAAUUUCUGCCCUCCAAUCCAUUGCAUCUCCAUCUUGUAUGCAAUAAAGUUCAAUCUUUCUCGCCCUUAUUUGGAUCACGGGCAAUAUUGUUUCAUACUCACAAGUAGACUUCCAAUUUAAAACCUUUGAGUACCCUGAACCCAUCUGGGCCAACUCAUUUGCCACAUCAUUGUAUAUCCUAUUAACGCAUUGAAGUUCUACUUGGUUGAAUUCUUCUAAUAACUCUUGGGCGAUUUCAUAUUGACUCAUAAUGGAAUCACUUUGGCAUUUAAAAUCACCAAUCAGUUGGUGAAUUACCAAUUGAGAAUUGCCUCUAAUGUUUACAUUUUUUACCCCCAUAUCUAUCAUUAGUUCCAGGCCCACGAUUAAGGCUUCAUAUUCGGCCUGAUUGUUGGUGCACAUCCUAUCCAAAGUGAAUGUGAACUUGUAGCAAAUUUCUAAAGGAUUUAUCAAUGCUACUCCUACUCCUGCACCUUUAGAGGUUUUUGACCUAUCGAAAUACAACACCCAAGGUUUUAGCUCGAACGAAUUGAUUUCUAAUUCAAUUUCUUCAGGCGUGUCAAGGCAUGGAUGAUCGGCUAGAAAAUUAGCCAAAGCCUGAUUUUUGACUGCCUUUUGGGGUAUGUAUUAUAUUUCGAAUUCUGAUAAAGCUAACGUCCAAAGGCCUACCCUUUGGUGUAAAAUAGGGCGAGAGAACAUAUACUUAAUCAAAUUUACUCUAGAAAUCAAAUAAACGAUUACGGACCGUAAAUAAGCCCUUAAUUUUGUACAUGUAAAAUACAAUGCAAGACAUAAUUUUUCGAUAGCGGAGUAAUUACAUUCACAUUUCGUUAACCGUCUACUCGACCAUUCCAGCUAUUGAUUCUUUUUCAGCCGAUACAUACACUUUCAUUGGCCGUCCUUGGAUUGGUGACACCAACACUGGUGGACUUGAUAAAUAUGUCUUCACACUUUCAAAAGCCUUUUGAUGUUCUUCUUUCCAGACGAAUUCGUCCUGAUUUUUCAACUUUAAAAGUGGCGAAAAGACUUUAGUUCGCCCUGCACAGUUAGAAAUAAAGCGUCUUAAAAAGUUUACUUGGCCUAGAAACCUUUACAAUUCUUUUUUGUUGCUAGGUGGUUUGGCCUCUAAAAUGGUCUUCGCUUUAUUUUUAUCAAGUUCAAUCCCUCUUUUGUAUACCAAGAAACCAAGAAAGUUUCAUGUAUUAACACCAAAUGCACAUUUCAAGGGAUUCAAUUUUAGCUUAUAUUGCUUCAUUCACUCAAAUGAACAUCUUAACUGUUCGAAAUGGUCCUCUUCUUUAUUGGAUUUGACUACUAUAUCAUCUACAUACACUUCAACAAAUUUGCCUAUCAUAUCAUGAAAAAUUAAAUUCAUUGCCCUUUGAUAAGUUGCUCCUACAUUUUUCAGGCCGAAAGGCAUGACUACCCAUUCAAAAAUCCUAGAGACCCAGGGCAUCUAAAGACAAUUUUGUGUAUGUCUUCCUCAGCUAUAUAAAUUUGAUUGUAUCCUGAAUACCCAUCCAUGAAAGAAUACAUGACGUGUCCGGCAGUUGAUUCUACUAAAGAAUCUACCGUGGGCAUUGGAUACUCAUCUUUGGGUGUGGCUAUGUUUAAAUUCCUAAAAUCUAUGCACACCCUUAGUUUACCAUUCUUUUUUAGUACUGGCACGAUAUUGGACAACCAUUCGACAUACCUGGCUGUCCUAAUAAAGCCUGCUUUUAAUAAUCACUCUAUCUCUUUCUUAAUUUCAGGGAGUACAUUAGGAGCAAAACGUCUGGGAGGUGCCUAUGAGGUUUAAAAUUAGGCUUAUUUGGUAAUCUAUGUUCCACCAAGUCUCUAUCUAAACCAGGCAUUUGUUCAUAUUCCCAAGCAAAACAAUCUUUAUACUCCUUUAACAAAGCGACUAAUUUAUCACUAACCUCUUGAUCGAGCAUCUGGCUGAUGAAUGUUGGACGAUCUUCCCCUUCAUUGUCAAUAUUUACUUUAAUCAGAGGGUCUUGUGCUUGAACGUAUCUAGGCUUGAUGAUCUGCAUUACUUCAUCGUCCAGCUCCCUUAUAAGCACUUCUUCUUCUAAACAAUCCACCUUGUUGACUUCUCCGCCAAUACUUUGUUCCAAUUCGAAUACUGUUAAUUUGUCUUUCAACGCUUUCAGGGCUGCCUCUUCUUUCGUCUUGUCCUUGCAUUCUUUAUUGAAAACCAUUAAUUUGGCUUUGAAGGCCUGAAUAUCGGUCAUUUGCUUUUGUUGCUUCGAACUCAUUCAGGACUCCUUGAUUAUUCUUUUGCCAAUUACUGGCUCUUCUAGGGCCACUAUAUUUGGCCUCAUCUGACUGAAUAUUUCAGUGAGUGCGUCCACUGAAAAUGGCUCUUCACUCUACGCGACAAUCUGAGUUUCUUCCCCAUCUUGGACUACCCUGACAGAUCCAUAGUUUCCUUCGUACAUGAACAUUUCCACUGAGUUUGCUUCUACUACAAAAGGCCUAUGAUCGGCCUGCACCACCUCUACUUCACCCUUGUUAUUCCAAAAAAACAGGCAUUGAUGGAGCGAUGAGGGUAUACAACGACUUUCGUGUAUCCAAUCUCUUCCUAGUAACACGUUGAACUAGUAGGACCAUCUAUUACAAAGAAUACUGUGGUCCUAGUAGUUGUACCUAUAGUUAUGUCCAAUGGCAUAACUCCCUUAGCUGCAGUUGCUCCUCCAUUGAAACUUGUAAGGAUGACUUCUGUUGGAAUCAUAUCCCCUUCUGUCUUUGCAAAUUUCCUCAUCAUCCUAGAUGGAAUGGUGUUUAUAGCUGCUCCAUUAUCGACAAGCACUUUUGCCACAGGUAUGCCGUUAACUAGAGCUUUAACGUACAACGGCCUCAAGUGUUUAGUCAAUUUCAUGGCUGGCCGUUUAAAAAUAACCUUUUCGGCAGCUUCUAUUUCUACUUCCUGCUGGUUCUCUACCGAGUUAUUCUUUUGUGAUAAGUCAACGUGUAGCGUAUCGCACUGAGCCUCUGUCUCCUGAAUUUCCUUUUUACUAUUUUCUGAUGCUUCCUCGUCCGUUACCAACCUGUGGGAGGAAGCAUUAUUCUUGGAGGUGAUCCAUACUUUUCAGAGCGAGGCACUCUCUUCUUCCUUUUGGGCGUCCCGUACAGCACGUAAAAAUCGAAAGAACGCCUAGAUGAUUCUCCCAAUAAAUCUACUCCACGAACUCCCUCUCGAUGUAGUUGCUUCAACAGAGUAUUGUACGAUACUCCUCUCCUUCUUCUUUCCACUUCUAAGUCGAUUUCCUCUUCAAUGUCUGUCAUACCAUCAUCUUCUUCACCAUUGUAGGCCUCUCUAGAAGUCUGGCCUUCUUCAUAUUCCAGUACGCAUGCUUCUCCUUCGUUAUCCUCUCUUUCUUCUUCUUCUUUCUCUUUAUUCUUGAACUCAUUGGCUAGUAAAUAGUUAUUAGCCACAACAGGAGGUAACGUACCGAACUGAAUAGUAAGGGGCUGAUCUAGAUCUUCUCCAUCCCUUCUGUCUCGCUCAAACUUCGAUCUCCCAGAAGAAGUUUCUGGCAACUCUUUUAUUGAUUCAUCUGUACCAGUCUCUUCACUAUCUUUGAGAACAUUUUGAUUGGGUACCUCGAGUAGUUUAGGCGCCUUAGGACGUGACACUCCCUGUUGUUGCCUCAUCAUUCGUCCAUAAUUUCGUUGGAAACGCCUUUGUUGGGUUCUAGUCAUCUCGUUGAAGGGUAUCGUCUUUCCUGUAUUAUACUAGAACGAAUGCCAUACAUUUGGUAGAUUAGGUUGUGGCCUGAAUGUUCUCCCAUUAUUUACUGGCCUGAACUGCCUCUCAAAAGGCGGUCCCUUAUAGAACGAUGUACCUCGCCCUCUACCAGGCUGAGUGUUUGGGAAGAAAGUAGGGCGAUGGGGAUGCUGUCAUAUCCCGGGUUUCUCCGUAUUCCCACUCACUUCUCUUUUACAUCUUACACACAAGACGUCUUCAUCCUUUUUUGGCUCCUUCCCUUUAAUACGCUUGGAGACACUGGGAUGUGGUCCAGGGUCUUCUUCUCCAUCAUCUAUAACCAAUUUGAAUUUUGGCAACUUGUUUUUUAAACCAGACGUCACCAUAUUCACUCCAAGUGGCUGUGGAAAAGGAUUUUCAUCCACUGCCAUCUUCUUCUUAUCAUCGAACGUAAUUCGUCCUGAUUCAAUGGCAUCCUGUAACACAUGGCGAAAAACCAAGCAAUUGUUAGUCAAAUGUGACCAUGCAUUAUGCCACUUACAAUAUUUUUUACCCUUAAUUUGUCCAAGGUUUGGCAAUUUAUGCUUAUCGCUCAGCUUUAUCUGUUUAUCCUUAUAUAAUUUAUCAAAUAUAAGGUCAGCUUUGGUUACAUCGAAUGAGAACGUUCUAGUUUUUACGUUUUCAUCUUUCAUAGGCUCAUCCUUGCUCAAUGGUCUAGGCUUAGCCAUUAUAGGACAAGUAUACUUAUUUCCUUUGACUAAUUCGGCCAAACACAUUUCGGUCUGAUCAUAUGACUCGUUAUUGAUGGUAUGAACAUCAAAAUUUGGGUCUCUAUAAUAAGUCCCCUUGCUAGAAUUUUUUAUCUCCUCUUCUUCUCUUAUCAAUCAUUCAUACCUAAUCACGUUCGUGCUCAAUUAGAAAAGGUCAGGAAAUUCCUUGUCUUGGAAUUUCUUUUUUAAAUCAAAGCUCAAACAACCUUGAGCGAUUUUGACAAACUCUUUUUCGGGCAGAGGUACAAAACAUUUACUUCUUGCUGUCUUGAAUCUUUGGAGGAAACCUUCUGCCCAUUCGUUUGGCAUUUGACAUAGGUUCGCCAAAUCGGCCAAAGUAACUUCAGACUCAGUUUUAUAAAACUGAGCGUGGAAUAAUUGUUUCAAUUAUUGCCAUGUUUGAAUAGAAUUCGCUGGCAAAUUGAUGAACCAGGAGAAAGCUACUCCUGUUAAUGAACUAGGGAAAAGCCUCAUUUUAUGAUAAUCAGUUACGUCACCACUUUGCAGUGUGAAUCGUCCUAUGUGCUCUAGAGUAGACACCUCCCCUAAACCGGUAAACAGUGAGAAUUCUGGCACUUUAUACCCUCUAGGCCAUGGAUAUGCUUGGUCUAUCCAAUCAGGAUAUGGCUUUGUGUAGGUCGGCCUAAUGAUAGAACGUACCCCAAAAGCCAUCUGGUCCUGUACGAUUUCCAUAAUCUGAUUCCUCAACAUGACGUUGGGGUCAUAUGGAAUCCCUACAGGUUGGUUGACCGGUUGAUUUGCUUGAGGCCUGAUAUUUGGUCCUUGAUUAGGAAUAAAAUUACCAUGAUUUGGGCCAUUGUUACUAUUAGCCUGAACAUUUAUUCCCUCAUAACACGUGGGGUAUUCUGCCCGUUAUUUAGGACAUUAUCUCUUACAUUUGGAUUACCCCCUAAGUUAGGCGUACCACUACCAUUAUUCUGAUUUGGCAUUACACCAUCCAUUGGUUCGAAGUAGAGGGACCGAAAUGUGGUUCUACCCCUUGACUUGGAUUUAGGACUGGGGGAUUAUGUCCCACAAUUGUCCUAAUUUGAAAAUGGUUUGCAAGAGGCAUAACUGGUUGACAAAUUUGGCCUACUAACUUAUUCAUUAUUUCAUUUAAAGUAUUCAGUUGUUUGGCCAUGUUGUCAUAAUGUGCAUUCCCAUUCUGGAUAAAUCUUUCCAUAUUAUGAAUAUUUCGAAGAUUUACCUGUUCAACGACAUCUUGUGUGAGUUCUUCAAGUAGUGCACGCAUAGUUCGGGGACUCAACUCUGCCAUUGAUUCGUAACGACUAUUACUGCUCUAAUUCUGUCCAUCUGUUCGUGGACCGCUAUGCUGCUCCUCAUAUCGCUCGAUCACAGACUGGACUCCUCCCUGACUUGCUGCUUCCUUAUCGGAUCUCUGAGGCAUAUUAUUUCACCUUUUGUAUCUUCAACACCAAACACCACUAUCCCACCGUGCGUGCCAAAUUGUUUCGCGCGAGUUAGUCGGUAACAAUUAAAAAGGGAUCAGACGAUUGUGUAAGGGACAAACCUCUUGAGACAAAGUCCCAAAAAGGGGUGUUUUUAUUGGCGAUGACUCUACAAUUGGAAAAUAAAAACAGAAUGCCUCCAAGGGGCGCAAGCACACGAGUUACUGAAAAAGAAGUGUUUAAAUCUAAACUAAGAAAUUUAAAGUUACAUAUUCUCUGUUUGAGAGUGUUUGAUUCGGGGGCCUUUGCUCUAUGUCUUUUCUUCCUUUUAUACUCACUGGAUGAUCUCUUCGUGAUCAACCGUUUAAAAACUGCUUGAUCGCUCUAUAACUGCCCACUUUUCUUGUAGUGGCCAACUUGUCAUGAAACUACCUUCUCUAACUGCUGCCAUUACUUUUGUCGUUCAACCAUUUUCAAUUAAAUUCCUUGAAUCGUGGAACGUGAUAGGACUACACAAUAACUGCUUUAUUAACUGCACUUUUGGGUAACCAUAACAUCUUAUGUUGGCUAAGAUGUUGGGCGACUCGAAUGUUUGGACGAGAGCAGGUUCACAGUUCUGGGCGACUGCAUGGCAAUUCAUUCGCUCAAAUCUUAGGCGACUUGCAACCUUGGGCGAUGGUAUUACCGCAUUCAUUGGCUUCCCUAUUUGGGCCUUUAUUCAGCAUUGCCUGAUUGGGUCGUUCUUUUGGGCUAUUUGAUUUUGGGGAUGAACUUUUUGUGUGUCAACAAUAUCAAUAUAAACAAAAAUCUUACAAAAUAAAAAAUCUCCAAUGAUUGAAACGGAAUCCCGCUUGAACUUUUAAACCUUUUUUUUUUUUUUUGGAUAAGUACUUGAACUUUUAAACCUUAACACUCAAAAAUUGGAAAUGGUGCUGUGCGACCUUUUUUACGCGUUGUUAGGAAAGGUUUAAGGUCUUGGCUGCUGCAGUCAAGUUAAGAAGUUCCAUAGAAGAUAUUAUCUUCUCCAGUCCAGUGGCUGUUACAAGGAUGGCGACGUGGUGGGCCGAGGCGUCCCCCUUCCCACCACCGGGAAUUUUCGGGAGGUGUGUAAUCAUUUGCAAGAUUCAUAAAUUAUUUGGGUAGCUUUGCAAAGCCAAUAAUUCUACUUCAACAAAGUUGGAGUACAAAAGUGAUUUUACAAAGUGUGUUGGCGAAAUUCAAAUCACUAAUUUCAAAUGAUUUAAAAAUUUAUUUUUAAAAUGAUUGGUAUAGAUUCAUCUUUGCUAUCCAAUUUUGUCAAACUCCUUUGUCAUCGUAGCAUAACUCGUGUAACAAAAAUUAAUUAUUAACUUAAACUUCUAAUUCAAUCAAAUGUUUUUUAUCCAAAUAAAGACUAGACGUAUAUUAUAGAAGUGGAAUAAAAUGGAUAGCUUUCUUUAUUUUCCAUUUAAAAGAAUAUUAUUUACAAUAUCACAUUGUUUAGCCUAAACUCAUCUCUACAUCUUAUACUAUACAGUAACAUUACUUACGACAUUUUUUUUUAACUAUGAAAUACAUUAUUUAGCAACGGGUAAAUUGAGAAUUUUCUUUACCAUGAAUACUUUUCUUUUUCUUUUUUAUAUUAAUAUUACUCUCAUCAUCGCUAUACGUGAUCUAUGUGAUGAUUGAAUCAUUGUCAUUAUCCGAUAAAUAAAAGUACAUUCCAACUUAAUGGAAUAAGGUGACAAUAACCUCACUGUCACGUGCCAUAGAGACAUGACACUCUAGAUUAGGAUAAGGGGCAUGGAGGAUGUAUAAACAGGUGAAGUAGACAACACUUUUGAACUUGCCGUGAGAAAAAGAUAUAUCAUCAUGUUCGUUUAAUAAGAUCCCAAAUCCCAAAGUAGACGAUUGACUAUAUACAUUUAUAUUUGAUGAUUGCUAAAUACAGAACCGUAAGAAAGAAGUUGAACAACUAAACAGCACCCUAGCAAACAAGAAAAUAAUUGCAUGGUAACUGUUUGGGAAGGAAAAAUUUCUUCCACAAGCAGCAAAUAAAAAAUUUAAAAUGAGCCUUCCCCGAGAUAGUCAAGAAAGUUUUGAACAUCUCCUGUAUGCACAAUAAGAAUCUGGAAACUGACAGAUAGUCGAUAGUCCAAUAAGAGGAUGAGAGUCGAACUCGGAAGGAAAGAAUCCGGUGGAAGAGCAUUCGUCACCAAGCGGAGUGCAUGAAGUGCUCUAUCUGGGGAGAAUAAUGCUAUAUAUCAUCAGUAAUGAUCAUCAAUAGUCUAAGUGAUAGCGGGCCCUUGAUUCGUUGUCCAAUUGCCAAACUGCCACCUAGACUGAUGAUGAUGAUGACUGAUGGUAGAUGGCAUUACUCGUCUGGGGAACAUCUAGCCGUAUUUUUUUGGGGUCACUUAGUUUUUCCUUUUUUCCUCCUUCGCUCUUUUCAUUUUUUGUGCCCAUGGAAGGAAAAAGAAUUAAUCUGCGUAAGAAUGAAAGAAUCUUUCAGGUCUUAUGCAUUCCCUGUUGGCUUUUUACUAGAAGAGGACAAUGCAACUAGAUAAUGAUAAUUAAUUUAUUUUAUUACCUCAAAAGAAUUUCUUAAAUCCGCUGGCCAAAAUUGUAAGGAGAAGCCGAGCCCAAAGAUGCUGGCAGUGGUCGCUUCACAAAGGGAUGAUCCAAGAGCAGAGAUGCUGUCGGACGUGCACUUGCAUCAACUUGUAGACAUUUAAGGAUAAAAUCACGUGCAUCGCUGGAAAGAGAAAUGGGAAUCGGUGGUAACUCACCCCUUCCUAUCCUAUAUAGCGCCUGCAUCUGUUAAUCAGGGAGAAUGCACUGUCAUGCUCCAAAACAACAAUGUACAGUUACCUAUCUACUUGAGCCCCUAUUUGACAUCUAAUGAAUUUUUUGGGGAAAACUCUAGAUUAGGAUAAGGGGCAUGGAAGAUGUAUAAACAGGAGAAGUAGACAACACUUUUGAACUUGCCGUGAAAAAAAGAUAUAUCAUCAUGUUCGUUUAAUAAGAUCCCAAAUCCCAAAGUAGACGAUUGACUAUAUACAUUUAUAUUUGAUGAUUGCUAAAUACAGAACCGUAGGAAAGAAGUUGAACAACUAAACAGCACCCUAGCAAACAAGAAAAUAAUUGCAUGGUAACUGUUUGGGAAGGAAAAAUUUCUUCCACAAGCAGCAAAUAAAAAAUUUAAAAUGAGCCUUCCCCGAGAUAGUCAAGAAAGUUUUGAACAUCUCCUGUAUGCACAAUAAGAAUCUGGAAACUGACAGAUAGUCGAUAGUCCAAUAAGAGGAUGAGAGUCGAACUCGGAAGGAAAGAAUCCGGUGGAAGAGCAUUCGUCACCAAGCGGAGUGCAUGAAGUGCUCUAUCUGGGGAGAAUAAUGCUAUAUAUCAUCAGUAAUGAUCAUCAAUAGUCUAAGUGAUAGCGGGCCCUUGAUUCGUUGUCCAAUUGCCAAACUGCCACCUAGACUGAUGAUGAUGAUGACUGAUGGUAGAUGGCAUUACUCGUCUGGGGAACAUCUAGCCGUAUUUUUUUGGGGUCACUUAGUUUUUCCUUUUUUCCUCCUUCGCUCUUUUCAUUUUUUGUGCCCAUGGAAGGAAAAAGAAUUAAUCUGCGUAAGAAUGAAAGAAUCUUUCAGGUCUUAUGCAUUCCCUGUUGGCUUUUUACUAGAAGAGGACAAUGCAACUAGAUAAUGAUAAUUAAUUUAUUUUAUUACCUCAAAAGAAUUUCUUAAAUCCGCUGGCCAAAAUUGUAAGGAGAAGCCGAGCCCAAAGAUGCUGGCAGUGGUCGCUUCACAAAGGGAUGAUCCAAGAGCAGAGAUGCUGUCGGACGUGCACUUGCAUCAACUUGUAGACAUUUAAGGAUAAAAUCACGGGCAUCGCUGGAAAGAGAAAUGGGAAUCGGUGGUAACUCACCCCUUCCUAUCCUAUAUAGCGCCUGCAUCUGUUAAUCAGGGAGAAUGCACUGUCAUGCUCCAAAACAACAAUGUACAGUUACCUAUCUACUUGAGCCCCUAUUUGACAUCUAAUGAAUUUUUUGGGGAAAACGAGUUUUGGGGUAGAGAUUUUUUGAAGAAUGAGUGGUUAAAAGGUAGGAAAAAAUUUUGGGUUUACAAUUUACUUUGUAAAUGUGGCUGAAAAUGAAUUUGAGGAAGAAAGAGUUUUGAUUUAGGGCUUGUUUGAGCCACAUUAUUUUCAAAAAAAUACAUUCUUAAACAGUGAUUUAACAUCAUUUCAACCAUACAUUCUUCAAUAAAAUAAUGUACACACACAUCUAAAACUUUUUCUUAUUUUUUAACCACAUAUUUCUCAUUGAUUUGACAUUAAUAAUGCAUUUUUUUCCUAGAAUGUGGCUCAAACAUGCUUUUAAUGUAUGUCAUACAGGGGCCGAGUAAUAUCCACCCAACAAAAUUAAAUAUCAUCUCUAUUUCUGGUUCCCAAAAAUUACAUUCCCUUGGCUGAUAGCAUAAGAAAAAUCAUAUUAAUGAGGAGAUAUCUUCAUAUUUCUGUCAUCUCUUUCAUUGUUAUAAUCUAUCUUUCAACAUGACAGCAUAUUGAUAUUUUGACAAUGAAAUAGCCAACGCAGUACUGGUAAGAAUGAACAGACAAAGUUUCUACUUGAGGAAGAGGCAGAUAUUUCCAUUAUUUUACCAUCAUUGUGAGUUAUAUAAAUACAAUGUUUAGUAUAUCUUAUAUAUGAUCCGAGUCUUUAAGCGGUCCUAAACUAUUCAGAGAUUCAAGGAUUGUACUUUCAGUUCUAGAUUAACCAGAAUAAUUCUAAAUAAAGUUUCGUUUAUAUAUUUCUAUUAGGAAUUAUGGAUAUGCUAACAAAAAAAGAAAGCGAUUGUUUAAGAAAAAUCCUAAGAACAUGUUUAGGAAGUGUUUAUAAACGGUUUAAAUUAUAAAUAGAUAAUAUGAGUGGUGGAUAAAUAGCUAGUAUAUGUGGGUCUUUGAAAAGUGCGGAUAAAAGUGCCAGUUUAUAAAAAUGAAACAAAUGUAGGCUAAAUUUAUUAUAUAAUUAUCGGCAAGCAUUAUGACCUGUAGCGAUUCAAAAGUUAUGAUUUUUUCUUUAAUAUGACAAAGAAGUAUCUACAAGCCUCUGGGCUCUAGUUUUAAGGAAAUCCAGAACAAAACUGCUUUACUUACAGGUUCCAUAAUGGAGUAUGGAAAACAUCGGGUUAGCAUCUCCAAGACAGUGCACCCAAGGCUCCAUAUAUCUGCUGCUAGCCCAUAUCCCAGGCUCUUAACCACCUACAGCAACAUAGAUUGAUAAUGAGCAAAACACAACAGGAAAUGUUGCAGAUAAAAUCUCAUCUCCCUUUGACCUUGGCACAUUAAAAGGAAGAGGGAAAUAAUUGAAUCCAAGAAAUCAAUUUACAAGUUAGUAUCAUGAACAUAUCUGCCUUUGGCACAUAUGUUACAAGUUAGUAUCAUGAACAUAUCAACUAGUCAGGCUACUUAAAUGUUAAGAAAAGAGGGUCAAGGUAAACCUCAGGAGCCAUCCAGAAAGGAGUCCCCUUGCAAGACUUCACAUCAUUCAACUUUGUGGCCUGCACAAUGAAUCAACUAACAAAAUUAUUUGUCAUAACAACAAUCGCAGUAAAAUAUUGCCAAGCAAAGUAAGAGGGCAUUUUUAUUUUGAAAAGGAGAAAAAAGAUGGGAUAAUUAGAGACUGCAACCUUCGCAAGGCCAAAAUCUGCAAGUUUCACCAAGCCAUUUGCAUCCACCAAUAUAUUUGCACACUUAAUAUCUCUGAAACAAGAGUGGUAAAUAAGUGAGAUCUUAGUGUUACAGAAUCAGCUGGCAUAAAUGAAGCACGUCGAAACAUUUGCACUUUAAUUUUUUUAAAGCAUGAAUGAGGAAAAGGAGAAAGAGAAGGAAUGAGGAAGAGGAGAAAGAGAAGGAUAGCUUGAAAUUGCAUAUGUUACUGAUAAUCAAAUGAACUUUCUUUCUUCGUCACCCACUCACCUAACGUCCUUUUUUUGGUUCUCUUGCCUGUUAAGUUUACAGUGCAGCCUAAAAUAAAGUAUUCCAGAAUAGACAGACAUUAUUAAUCAAAAACAGAGUCCUCACCCCAAAUUUUAGUUUUCUAAUAAAAAAAUCUCUGACAAAUGCUUUUGUAAUAUUAGCUUCCAAUUUCCUGGAGACGGUUCAAUUAACCAUAAAAUUCUAAGAAGCCUUGCUUGAAAAAUAUAAAACAAAAUGACAACCUGUUUUAAGGAACACUUUCAAGUAUAUGAUACUAGCCAAUUUCAAUAUGAACCGCUUAAAUGAAAGGACAUAAUUUGAUCACUUGUCAAGAAAAUUUAGAAGUGAAACAUUUUAGAAAACCUUGUGGUAUAAUUUUUUUCACUACUAUCAACUAGCAAUUUGGAACAACAAUCAUGCUACAUAGACAUAAUGGCUGACAUAAUACUUGACAUAAUGUCAUGUGGUUACCUAUCACUGGAUUGUUUGAAAUACAAUCAAUUUUUUCAACUAAUCAUAUCUUGCCAACAUUUAUUAUGUCAACCAUUAUGUCACAUAUUUUCUAGCAAAGUAGCAUUAUUCUUGGAACAAUAUAAGCAUGUUGGACAAAGCCCCCAGAAAAAGUAAACUUCCAUGCUCAGCUAGACAUGUUUGAAGCUUUAAAAUAAAAAACUUUUUUAGAAUUUUUUAACAGAAGAGUGUUCCCUUACUUUUGUAAGAGUAACUUUCUUAAGUUUUAUCAAAACAUGCUCAUAGCUGGUGACUCUUACCAAGGUGAGAGAAAGAAUCUACAAAUUGGUUGAUCCUACUUCAGUUUCUUAAUCCAGACAACAGAAUGCAUACUAUAAAAACCGCUACAGAUUCGCAUGCAUAGGAUUAUUGAUCUUAUGUAAAUUACAUUCUCCUACAAUAUUGCAGAACAAGAAGGAAAUAAUACAGGUUGAUCUCUAGUGAAUAUGCUUGAUGUAAGUAAAAAAAGCGACUGUAAGAAAUUUUCAGCCCCCGUUUGAGCCACAUUAUUAUAAAAAUAAGAAUGAAAACUAUAGUCGUUAUGGGUCUCACACAAGAGACAAAAAAUCAAAUAUAGUGACUUGAUGUGAUGGAUAACGGUCAUAUUUUUCAUUUUAAUGAGAAAAUAAUGGGGCUCAAACAGGGCCUAAAUAUCAAAAAAUAAUGGGAUGUUGAUGAAGAUUUGAAGUGAAUACAAGAUGUACACAAAUGUGUAGUCAUCCUCAGCCCCUAAGGAAUGGUUAAUGAGAAGUGUAACUGCAACUCUGCAAAUACUCAAAACUCAAUUGAAAUAUACAACACAUGAAUGGGUAAAAAAAUUAUGAUUUAAUAUAUAAAUAUCUUUUAAAACAUAACCAAUUUUUUUGGAACAAAGCAAUAAAUCACUAAAACCAGAAGCACAGAGUUGUUU